GUCUUGGACCAAUGCGUAGUCAAUCCCGACAAGCUAUUACGCAAAGAGCAUAUCGUAAACUGUCAUAUAGAGCCUUUUCAACAUGGAUAAAUGGCGAAAUGGGUCCAAGAAAUAGGAAACCUAUACCAUCGUGUGUAGUCAAUAGUAUUCGACGACGUUUCCCAGCUCCGGAUAAUAUUUAUGUUGGUUUCCAUUACCCUGAGGAUGACGGACCAGCAACAGAGAUGAUAUUAGAUUAGUUUAUCAAAAAUUUAUAUUUAAAAAUUCUAUUUCUAUCAUAUUAUUUAUAUUUUUGUUUUCAGGAAUUCACUAAAGUUGAUAUGUUUAAAAAAUUUUAAUUUUUAAAAAACUUGAUUAAAAAUAUUUAAAAUUUGAAUAUAAA